rnacentral:rRNA from 1 species
UGAGUAAUGUCUGGGAAACUGCCUGAUGGAGGGGGAUAACUACUGGAAACGGUAGCUAAUACCGCAUAACGUCUUCGGACCAAAGUGGGGGACCUUCGGGCCUCAUGCCAUCAGAUGUGCCCAGAUGGGAUUAGCUAGUAGGUGGGGUAACGGCUCACCUAGGCGACGAUCCCUAGCUGGUCUGAGAGGAUGACCAGCCACACUGGAACUGAGACACGGUCCAGACUCCUACGGGAGGCAGCAGUGGGGAAUAUUGCACAAUGGGCGCAAGCCUGAUGCAGCCAUGCCGCGUGUAUGAAGAAGGCCUUCGGGUUGUAAAGUACUUUCAGCGAGGAGGAAGGCAUUAAGGUUAAUAACCUUAGUGAUUGACGUUACUCGCAGAAGAAGCACCGGCUAACUCCGUGCCAGCAGCCGCGGUAAUACGGAGGGUGCAAGCGUUAAUCGGAAUUACUGGGCGUAAAGCGCACGCAGGCGGUCUGUCAAGUCGGAUGUGAAAUCCCCGGG